GUGCAGCAGUCGCGAAACUUUACAAUGUGCGAAAGCACGAUAAGGGAACUCUGAGUGCCUCCUAAGGAGGCUGUUCAGGUGUCUAAAAGCACCUGAAGGAAGGGCUGGGUAAGACCGGUGCCAGCCGCCGCGGUAACACCGGCAGCCCAAGUGGUAGCCACGUUUAUUGGGUCUAAAGCGUCCGUAGCCGGCUGGGUAAGUUCCUUGGGAAAUUUGGCUGCUUAACAGUCAAGCUUUCAGGGAAUACUGCCCGGCUUGGGACCGGGAGAGGUCAGAGGUACUCCAGGGGUAGGGGUGAAACCCAUUAAUCCUUGGGGGACCACCGGUAGCGAAGGCGUCUGACCAGACCGGGUCCGACGGUGAGGGACGAAGGCUAGGGGGCGCGAACCGGAUUAGAUACCC
rnacentral:rRNA from 1 species